AAGUCGUAACAAGGUAUCCGUAGGUGAACCUGCGGAUGGAUCAUUAAUUAAUACUUUAUUGUAUUCAUUGAUUACUUGUGAACUGUGUAAUAUUGUCGCAGCAAUGUGACAAUAUCCAUUAUUUAUUAUGUAAUAGUAACUGAGUAAAAUUGUAAUAAAGUAAAAACAACUUUUAGCAACGGAUCUCUAGGCUCUC
rnacentral:misc_RNA from 1 species